UAGGGACCUUUCCACGGUUUCUGUGUCGUAGCUAGCGCAUUAAGCGCCCCGCCUGGGGAGUACGGCCGCAAGGCUAAAACUCAAAGGAAUUGACGGGGGCCCGCACAAGCGGCGGAGCAUGCGGAUUAAUUCGAUGCAACGCGAAGAACCUUACCAAGGCUUGACAUACACCGGAAACGGCCAGAGAUGGUCGCCCCCUUGUGGUCGGUGUACAGGUGGUGCAUGGUUGUCGUCAGCUCGUGUCGUGAGAUGUUGGGUUAAGUCCCGCAACGAGCGCAACCCUCGUUCUAUGUUGCCAGCGGGUUAUGCCGGGGACUCAUAGGAGACUGCCGGGGUCAACUCGGAGGAAGGUGGGGAUGACGUCAAAUCAUCAUGCCCCUUAUGUCUUGGGCUUCACGCAUGCUACAAUGGCCGGUACAAAGGGCUGCGAUACCGUAAGGUGGAGCGAAUCCCAAAAAGCCGGUCUCAGUUCGGAUUGAGGUCUGCAACUCGACCUCAUGAAGUCGGAGUCGCUAGUAAUCGCAGAUCAGCAACGCUGCGGUGAAUACGUUCCCGGGCCUUGUACACACCGCCCGUCAAGUCAUGAAAGUCGGUAACACCC
rnacentral:rRNA from 1 species